rnacentral:lncRNA from 1 species
GCCCUGCUGCCCUGUAGUCCUGCUGGGGUGCCAUACCUGUUGCCCUGACGCCCUGCAAGAUCUGCAGCCCUGCCUCCCUGCUGCCCUGUAGCAUUGCUGCCCUGCUGCCCUGCUGCUCUUCUGCCCUGCAACCCUGCCUACCUACUGCCUUGCAUCCCUGCCGCACUGUGAGGCUUGUAGCAUUGCCGCCCUACACCCUGAACCCUGCAGCCCUGGGAGGCCUGUAGCCCUGCAGCCCUGCUGCUCUUCAGCCCUUCUGCCCUGCUGUCCUGCAUCCCUGAUGCCCUGUUGCCAUGCAGCCCUCCGAGGCCUGCCACCCUUCCACCCUGCUGCCCUACCUCCCUGCAGCCCUGCCGCCCUGGUAGGCCUACAGCCAUGCCGCCCUGCUGCCUGGCCACUCAGUGACCCUGAGAGGCCUGCAGCCCUGCCGCAAUGCUUCCCUGCUGCCUUGCCACCCUGCUACCCUGCAGCCCUUCCAGCAUGCUUCUCUGCAGCCCUACUGCCCUGCUGCCCUGCAGCCCUGCUGCCCUGCAAGGCCUGCAGCCCGGUCACCAGUGUCACCCACCCGGCCUUUAAGGUUUCUGAGCAGACACUGGACCCUGACCUGACUGGACGCUGCCUCCUCCGGCUCCCUCUCACUUACAGUAGUAGACAUCAUAGUCACUAUGAUGUGACAAGUGGUUCCCCUGAGGCCAGAGGGACAGCAAUCAACAGAGGGACAGCCUGGGCUACUACUCUCACAGUUGAUAUCGAAGCAUUGUGCACAGAAAACAACGCCCAAGAUAAAUCAUUAGGAAAAGAAGAAGCAUCCUCAAGACAGGGAAAGAAGUACCUUCCAGAAAAUGCCUAUGGAAUAGCUCACCUGAUUUAG